rnacentral:rRNA from 1 species
UACGAAGGGGGCUAGCGUUGUUCGGAAUCACUGGGCGUAAAGGGCGCGUAGGCGGCUUUUCAAGUCGGGGGUGAAAGCCUGUGGCUCAACCACAGAAUUGCCUUCGAUACUGUUAGGCUUGAGACCGGAAGAGGUGAGUGGAACUGCGAGUGUAGAGGUGAAAUUCGUAGAUAUUCGCAAGAACACCAGUGGCGAAGGCGGCUUACUGGUCCGGUUUUGACGCUGAGGCGCGAAAGCGUGGGGAGCAAACAGG